rnacentral:misc_RNA from 1 species
CAUUAUGCCAUUGAUUGUGCUUUGGAUGAGGUUUCUAGACGUGUAGAGUUUGGGCUGUCCUGUCGUUGCAUAUUUGAGUAUAGCAAGAUUAAUACUCAAAUAAUCGUUAAUGCUGGAAUCCGGGAAGAUUCUAGUAGAAGAGUAGGUGGGGAUAGCUUUUCAGGUGCAGAUGCUUUUGAACCUGCAAAACUAGUUGAUUAUAUUAAAGCAUUAGGCCUAUUGCCAUUUGGUUUAAUUGACAGACUGGAAUUUGUAACAACACAGGCC